GGGUAGCUCCGUUGGUAGAGCAUGAGGCUCUUAAUCUCAGGGUUGUGGGUUCGAGCCUUGUGGUGGGCA